AUUGAGAGGUCCUGGCCAGUCAGGGCCUCACAGGACCAUCCAGCCUUUAAAAAAAAAAUGGCAAACAUGAGGCUCCCCCCGUGGUAUUUAGGAAGGAAAAUGGCUUUUGUCAGGGUCUCCAGUCACACCAUGUAUCACCCCUCAUUUACUCUCCCAACGUUUAUGGGAUGUCUACUGUCUACUCAAAACCACACUAAGUCCCGGCAUACAAUGCUGAAGAGUUGGGGAAAUGAGCAGGGGUUAAGAGGAUACCUUUGUGCCUCAUCUGGAGGGCUGAGUAAAUAAAGUCUGGGGUCACAGAGGAGUAGAACCUAGAGGGUGUGGCUGGUCCUCCCCUCAGGUAGCUUCCCUGUAAUAAAGUGUGCUCCCCACAGGGGAUCACAGCUAAACUAACUAAAAUAGCAAGCAAGCCUGCUUCAUUCUGCAAUGGUAACAGUCUGCUUUGUGUUUGUCUGUUUUCUUGUGUUGGUUUGGUUUGGGUUUUUGGUUGGUUGGUUGGUUUUCUGUUUUGUCUUGUUCUCACAGGCAUGGCAGUUUCUUGGUAUAACCCAGGCUGAGAAUGAAAAUGAGCAGGCAGCUAUUGUCGCCCUCCAGAGGUGCCUGGAGUUGCAGCCCAACAACUUGAAGGCUCUGAUGGCCUUGGCUGUAAGUUACACCAACACCAGCCACCAGCAGGAUGCUUGUGAGGCACUGAAGAACUGGAUUAAGCAAAACCCAAAGUACAAGUACCUUGUGAAGAACAAGAAAGGCUCUCCAGGCCUCACACGGCGGAUGUCUAAAUCCCC
rnacentral:lncRNA from 1 species